GAUGAAGAACGCAGCGAAAUGCGAUAAGUAAUGUGAAUUGCAGAAUUCAGUGAAUCAUCGAAUCUUUGAACGCACAUUGCGCCCUCUGGUAUUCCGAGGGGCAUGCCUGUUCGAGCGUCAUUAUAACCCCUCAAGCUCAGCUUGGUGUUGGGGCCUGCUGCACUGGCAGCCCUUAAAAUCAGUGGCGGCGCCAUCUGGCUCUAAGCGUAGUAAUUCUUCUCGCUAUGGAGUCCUGGUGGAUGCUUGCCAUCAACCCCCAAUUUUUCUAUGGUUGACCUCGGAUCAGGUAGGGAUACCCGCUGAACUUAAGCAUAUCAAUAAGCGGAGGA
rnacentral:misc_RNA from 1 species